AUGCAUCUUACAGCCGAGCUCAGCUCCCUUCAUAUGUCAUUCCAGGAUGGCCUCAGCACCAGCCCAGAGCAGGCUCUGCCACUUCAUAAAGCCAGAGCUUUUGCCUAAGAUGUGCUAUGAUACCUCACAUGGUAGCACAUGUCUGCCAACCCAGAACUGGGGUAGAAGGGGCAGGAGGAUCAUAGGGAGUUCCAGACCAGACUGGGCUCCAUGAGUCCCUCCCUGUCUCAAGAAAACACAGCCCAGCAGUGGUGGCACACACUCGGGAGGCAGAGGCCCAUGGAUCUCUGUGAGUCGGAGGCCAGCCUGGUCUACAGAGAGAGUUCCAGGGCAGUCAGAGCCACACAGAGAAACCCUGACUUGGGAAACAAAGCAAAACAAAGCAAAACAGACCAAACAAAAAAAGUCGUGGUUCCAUUCAUGCAAAUGAGCAGAGAGAGGUUCCAGAGAGCCCGAGGAGGAACAGGUUGGUCAAAGUUCUGUGGAUAGCUGAGGUCAGCUGGGAUCCAAACCCACAGUGAUCUGUCCCAGGUACAGGCAUUUUCCAGGUUCAUGAACCUUACACAUGGAAUGCAGUCAAGAGAGAUGAGCAAGGAGCUGCCUUAAUCCCAGUAGAGGCAGGA
rnacentral:lncRNA from 1 species